UCUGAUAGAUAUCCUCUUUUUCUCUCUCUUUCUUUUUUUAUUUCAUUUUUUUUCUUUCUUUUCUUUCUUUUCUUUCUUUUUUAAUCUUCCUUUCUUUUCUUUUCUUUUUGUUUCACUUUCUCAUCUCUUCCUCUCUUUUCUUCCUUUUUCUUAUUCUUUCUCUUUUUUUCUUCCUAUUUUUCUUUAUUUUUUUUCUUCUUCUUUCCUUUCACUUUUUUCCUUUCUUUCUUCUCUCUUUUUUCUUCUCUCCCUACAUGGAUAGAUUUCGGAGUCCUGACUUUAUCCCAGUCUCAUUUUCUUACAAGAACAGGAUGCGACGACUGGGACGGCCUCUAUCCUGUCGGGAUGU
rnacentral:lncRNA from 1 species